rnacentral:lncRNA from 1 species
CUGGUUAAGAGGCUGUCCAAGUAAAUAUCAGGCAAAUCCUAUGAUAUGGGUGGCACAACAUAUUUUUUUCCCCAUUGAUUUUUUUGGUUCCAAUGCAAUGUUUAUAUCAUACAAAGGAUAUAUAUGUCAAAGAUAUUUUUGAAUCAACAGUGGAUGGCUCAGAAAAUGAUUUUAAAGUUUACUAACAAUGCAACAAAAUUUUGUACAAAAUGAAGAGUUAUCUCCCCUUUUCAAUGAAUUUUCAGUGCUUUCUAUGUAUUUUUUUUCUCUUUAUUUGUUGUAGUUAAUAAAAAAAAAUAAAUUUAACUUUGAGAAAGAAUGAAUUUGUGAUAUGAAAUAGAUGAAAAAAAUUGAAAACAAAAUAUGUCAUGUGCCAUCCACUGCCUGG